AUGAACCGCAGCCGCCAGGUGACGUGCAUGUCUUGGAUCUGCUGUGGUGUGGCCAAAGAGAUGCCAGAUAAGGUAGAGCUAAGUAAAGAACAAGUAAAUCACUCAUUGCUGAUGCAAAAGAAAAAAUGCAAGAAGAAGGUGGCAGUGAUGAAGAGGAGGCAGGUCAUCCUUCAGAAGAUGGCAUGCAGAGUGUACACACCCAGGCUCGACCAACAGAGCCCUUGGGGUAUGGUGACCCAGAGGAUGACAGGACGCUAGAUGACGAUGAGCUGGCCAAGUAUGACUUAGAUAAAUAUGAUGAAGAGGAUGAUCCAGAUGCUGAGACUCUUGGCAAAUCUCUCUUGGGUCUUAUGGUCUACAGUAGUAAUGAUCAAGAUCCUUGUUACUCUGAAAGAUACAGAACAAUAUGAAUGUGAAGAUUUCUUGAUUAAAUCCAGCGACAAUCUUAUAGUUUGUGGCCAAGCUGAACAAGACUAGUGCAAUUUAGAGGUGCAUGUUUAUAAUCAAGAAGAAGACUCUUUUUAUGUACACCAUGAUAUACUCUCGUCUGCGUAUCCUCUGAGUGUGGAAUGGCUGAAUUUUGAUCCUAGCCUAGAUGAUUCUACUGGAAAUUACAUUGCUGUGGGAAGCAUGACACCUGUUAUUGAAGUGUGGGACCUCAAUAUAGUGGACUCUCUAGAACCCGUCUUCACACUUGAAAGUAAACCUUUAAAAAAGAAGAAAAAGAAAGGGCAGAAGAGUUCCUCAGCAGAAGGGCAUACUGAUGCUGUCCUUGACCUUUCAUGGAAUAAGCUAAUCAGAAAUGUGUUGUCAAGUGCAUCAGCAGAAUAAUACCAUAAUUCUGCUGGAGAAACCAGCAGCUAGCCUUGCUGUACACACUGAUAAGGUCCAGACUUUGUAGUUUCAUCCAUUUGAAGCACAAACUCUGAUUUCUGGAUCUUAUGAUAAAUCCGUUGCUGAAGACCAGAGGAAAGUUGUCGGAUAUGGCAGUUCAGUGGGCAGAUCAAGAGGGUGACUUGGAAUCACUUUUCACCUUGUCAUUUUUUGGCCAGUACAGAUGAUGGCUUUGUAUAUAAUUUGGAUGCACGUUUAGAUAAGCCAAUUUUUACUCUUAAUGCCCACAAUGAUGAAUUCUCUGGUCUUGAUCUAAGCAGUCAAAUCAAGGGUUGUCUUGUGACUGCUUCAGCUGACAAAUAUGUGAAGAUCUGGGAUAUCGUAGGUGAUUGGCCAAGUCUAAUUCAUUCUAGGGACAUGAAAAUGGGAGUUGUCUUCAGUUCUUCGUGUUGCUCUGAUUUGCCAUUUAUUUAUGCCUUCAGAGAUCAGAAAGAAGGGCUUCAGGUCUGGGAUAUAAGCACAGUCUCUUCAGUAAAUGAAGCAUUUGGAAGACGAGAGAGGCUUGUUCUCAGCAACACAAGAAGUUCCUCUAUUAAUGGCCCUUUUGGGAGCAGGAGCUCAGACACACCAAUGGAGUGUUAAAGAAGAUCAUAUAAUUUCCAGUUUGGUUAAGCCUCAUUGAGAGUUUCAAAAACCUGGCCUAAGAAUGUUCCACGUGUAGCAGCAGCCAUGUGGAGUGACUGAAAACUUGUCUCCA